ensembl:lncRNA
CCUCCCCUAACCUCAUUUAAGGGCUGGCAGCUGAAAGCAAAGUAUCUCUACUUGGAGCCUGCUUCUUUCUGGGAGUUUCUAGUGAGCCUGUAUCUUCUGAGCAGGGAAAGAGGAGAUGCUUCUGGAUUUCCUGGAACCUGGACAAACCAUCAACUCUGAGCACUACAUUCAGCUGCUGAUGAAGCUGAGGGCUUGAACUUCCAAAGUCAGGCCAGAGAAGACAAAGUUUCUCUUGCAGCACGAUAACACCAGGCACCAUACCAAUUUGAAGACCGUAGAGGACAUUGCCAGUCUUGGCAGGACUGUCCCACCACACCCACUAUAUAGUCCAAAUUUGAUGCUUUCUGACUUCCAUCAUUUCAGUCUGAUGAAGUAUGGACUGUGUGGGCAAUGUCAUCUUAGCAAUGGCACUAUCAUAACAGUUGUGAAUCACCUCCACUGGUUCAGCUUUUUAUAAGAACAGCAUGCAGGAUCUUGUUCGUUACUUAAAAAAAAAAAAAAAAUGCCCAGCUGAUGUUGGUGACUAUGUUGAAAAAUAUUCCUCUGCAGCUGAGACUCUAUCAAAUAGUGUUAUUGUGCUCUAUAUCUGUUGUAAUUUCCAUGGAAAUAAAUAGGAGGUAUUACUCUUGAAGUAACCUACAUAUUUGUAUUCCUCAUUUCAACUGAUGUCAAACUAGUGUGUGUUUUUUUUUUUUUUAAUUUAUUGUGUCUCUCUUCAGCUUCUCGCUGUCUCCUGCCAUGCUCUGGCUGAAAUAAAGUUGUUUUUUAAUCAGAUAUAAACUUAAGUCGUCUUGUACUCAAACGCUUUUCUCUGAUGUUCUUCCUGCGCUUUGAAUUGUACUAUUUUUCUAUUACUUUUACUUAAAGGCUGACUCCUAAGGGGGAAAACAGGGACUUAGUAAUCUGCAACUGGACUUGGAGAAUGCAGCUUGUUUUAGUACUGUGUGUGCUGUUGAGUUCAAGGAUAUCAGGAAGACUGCUAUCAUUUGCAAAAUGAGUAUUUGCAAACAGCAGAGCUUCUGCUGUCUCAGUUAAAUAUUUACCUGUUAGUAUGGUGUGUUUUUGUAGUAACACAACCAGUUUUACCUUCUAGUUAUCCCCCAUCUGCUCUCCUUAAAAAGCAAUUUUUAAGGUGUUUAUGAAAAUGAGGUUCUGGUUCACAAUGAGAUGCUACAGGAGAUGCAACAGUAAAAUGUGGUCAUUUGCUGUAUAACCAAUAGAUCAGUUCUCAAAGGUUGACAUGGAACUCAAUAUUUCAGUCUGCCUAAGAGGCAAGAGGAUAACCAAAUACACUAAUAAUAAAUAUUUUCUGGCAGGAUAUGAUAAUCUAACUGAUUGAUUAUUUGUAUUUCGUUAUCAUGACUUUAAAUUGUGCAAGAAUAAACCCAGUGGC